GCCCUGUAGCUUAAUUGGAUAGAGCACCUGACUACGGAUCAGGAGGUUAGAAGUUCAAAUCUUCUACGGCGCA
rnacentral:tRNA from 1 species